rnacentral:misc_RNA from 1 species
GAUGAAGAACGUAGCGAAAUGCGAUAAGUAUUGUGAAUUGCAGAAUUCAGUGAAUCAUCGAAUCUUUGAACGCACAUUGCGCCCGCCAGUAUUCUGGCGGGCAUGCCUGUCCGAGCGUCAUUUCAACCCUCAAGCCCCCGGGCUUGGUGUUGGAGAUCGGCGAGCCCCCCGGGGCGCGCCGUCUCCCAAAUAUAGUGGCGGUCCCGCUGUAGCUUCCUCUGCGUAGUAGCACACCUCGCACUGGGAAACAGCGUGGCCACGCCGUAAAACCCCCCACUUCUGAAAGGUUGACCUCGGAUCAGGUAGGAAUACCCGCUGAACUUAAGCAUAUCAAUAAGCGGAGGA